CGGCCCCUCGAGGAGGGUUGCCGGGAUUGGCCGGAACCAGGUGACUGGAUCCUUUCACCCGCUGAGGUGACUGUGGCCCCCGGAGCCCCCCUCGAGGGGCCG
rnacentral:ncRNA from 1 species